GACGAACGCUGGCUGCGUGCUUAACACAUGCAAGUCGAGCGGAAAGGCCACUUCGGUGGUACUCGAGCGGCGAACGGGUGAGUAACACGUGAGUAAUCUGCCCCUGGCUUUGGGAUAGCCACCGGAAACGGUGAUUAAUACCGGAUACGACCACUUCUCGCAUGGGAUGGUGGUGGAAAGUUUUUUCGGCCAGGGAUGUGCUCGCGGCCUAUCAGCUGGAUGGUGAGGUAAUGGCUCACCAUGGCUUCGACGGGUAGCCGGCCUGAGAGGGUGACCGGUCACACUGGGACUGAGACACGGCCCAGACUCCUACGGGAGGCAGCAGUGGGGAAUAUUGGACAAUGGGCGGAAGCCUGAUCCAGCAACGCCGCGUGAGGGAUGACGGCCUUCGGGUUGUAAACCUCUUUCAGCAGGGACGAAGCGCAAGUGACGGUACCUGCAGAAGAAGCACCGGCCAACUACGUGCCAGCAGCCGCCGUAA
rnacentral:rRNA from 1 species